GCCGAAGUGGCGGAAUUUGGUAGACGCGCUGGAUUCAGGAUCCAGUGGGUGCAAGCCCGUGGGGGUUCAAAUCCCCCCUUCGGCACCA
rnacentral:tRNA from 1 species